UGAGCCGCGGACACAGAUGGCCAAGCCCUGUGCGCGUGCACGGCCUGUUGUGUGGGGCCCGGCUGCAUUCGAUCUCAGCGCCUCACUUUGUUUCUUGGUCACAUCGCAGCUGUGGUUUGCGUACGUGUCUCCGCGGGUCCAUGUGUUAAGGCAGGUGUGGUGCCACCGAGCUACAUCCCUGGCCCGAAAAAGUAAUUCUUCCUAUCGGCCCGCAGUACUGUUACUUGCUUUGUGUCAGUGUGAACUGUGUCUGGGAUCACUUUCCAUCCUUUUGAAGAUGUUCUGGAGAUAUUUCCUGCAGGUUCUGAAGGAGGCCUUAGUCCAAGUGGAUCUCGGGUCACAGGCUUGUUGGAACCGAGAGGUCUGAGGAGACCGUUUCUCUCCAGUGGUGAAAAGGGCAACCCUGGCUGGUCCUCAGGCCCUGGAGGGCACCGGGGCAGAAGCAGUUAAGAGAGCAACGCCAGAGUUUCUGGCGGCCGAGCCCUGCUGGGUUCCAGCUCUAGGUGUCUGCUGGAAAGUGCAGCUGGGAGCCAGGUGACACGCUGUGUGUGUGUUUUGCUGUUACCAGAGAAACAAGAG
ensembl:lncRNA